ACAUAGAAAAUGAUAGUGCGAGUGGGGCAUCCGUGUACUGGGGACACAUUCUUGUUUAAUUUAAUUUAUAUAUAGGUUUCUUCUACUGCAUUGAGUACUAGACGGAUAAGUUUUACAAUUUAAAAUAUGAGACUCGCUGAUCCAUUUUGAAAUUUAACUGUGAGAGAGAAUUAAUAUAGUAUAUUAGGAGAUAGCGUUGUGAAAUCUGUUUCUCAGAUGAUUUUAAAAAGAUAUAUGUAGCCAAGUUUUCUUCUUGUUCACUGAUCAGCAAAAAAACAAUAUUAUUUCUCUGUGAUGUCAUUAGACAAUGUCGCUUUUAUUGUGACUCCUUGAUAAAGAAGGAAGAGAAAAGCAAGAGAGUUUAAUGUAACUUCAAAAUUCAUAUCUUUUUCAUAGAAUUGUGAACUAUAUGAAUUUUGGAGUAAAAUCUGCGUAAAAUACAAAUUUUUUACAGCAAUGAAUAAUAGCCAAUACCUAUGUUAUCUUCAUGUCUCACUAUUGAAUUUUUAAAAUUUUUACUACAAUAUAUGAUACAUUUUACUGAGAUUAUGAACAUUUUUAUUAUAUUUAUUAGACAGAUAGUCGACACAAAUUGAUACAAAUUAUAGUGUAAAUUAUUACUGGCAUACAACUGAUUUGUAUAAUUGAUAUUUCAUUAUUUCCCCCAAAUCUCAUGUAAGAUUAUGUUUUGUAUGUUUUAUGAUUAACCAAAAUGCAUUUAAAAAUGAAAGAUGACAUUAAUCAGGAAACACUUGUUACAUCAAUACACAUCUUGAUUGAUUUUACAGAAAUCAUUGUAUUUUCCCACCUUUUUUGUCAGUCAUUAUACAUUACUUCCCUUGUGAUUAUUAUCUAUUACACAUUAAAUGCAAAUAAAGAAACAUAAUUAUAAAAUUUGAAAUAAUCACAAAUAAA
rnacentral:lncRNA from 1 species